UCUACUACCCCUGUACGUUCUUCUUCUUCUUCUUCUUUCGGGCAAAAAUACGACCCAACUCGUGAAACCAAGAAAAAAUCGAAACCCAAAUACCCCAGAGAACCUUCAACACGAGCCCUCUCUCGCGGUCGUCCUCUCCUCUCGUACGAAUUUUUCCAAAGAAUCUUCCAGGUGUCUCCAUCCCCUCGAUCCUUCAUCCUUGCUCCUUGAAUCGGACGGACUUCGUGCUAAAUCCAUUGGGAAUUUUUCCUCAUUUGAGUUAGCAACCUUAUCCUCAAAGGAUUUCAAAUUUAAAAUUUUGAAUUUCAUCCGUAAAACCUCACAUGUUUCCCCCAAAAUCAGUCCCCAUCUCAUUCUAUAAAAGUUCUCUUUAUUCUUCAUUGGAAGUGUUGGAAACAACAUAUUUGGAAAAAGAUUGGGAAAAAUCUGAGCGGGUAUACAAAGUUAGACACGACGUUACAGAAAAAGAUAAAGAUUUGGAUAUAGAAAUAGACCAAAAAAACAUAUCAGUGAAACAGGAGAUACUUAAGUUUUCGGUUUCACUUUGAACUCAAGUUCUUGUCAUCUUCUCGUAGUCUCAAGUUGGUUGUGAAAUUGUCUCCAACAGUUAGAGUCUCAGUUUGCUACUUCGGAAAAGUUAACCAUAAACUCUUAUCUUUCUGUUGCAUUCGGAGAGAGAGCAGUAAAAGCUCAAAUUUCUCUUUUGAGUCAACUAGCCAUAGAAUCGAUGAACAGGUCCAAAAGUUGAGAAUUUUUGAGCGGCACGAGUUCGAGAGUUGAAGGGAUUGGGUCAAAAAAUCCAUCGUCUUUUUUAGUUGUUAUUUAUUAUUUUUCGGCCUAAUCCCUUGCCAUUUUCAUUAUUAUUAACUUUUAAGUUUAGGAGAGGUGGAAAUGGGCCAAAAGUCAAAACAAAAUGGGCGCAAAUACAGGUCCAGGCGGACAGAAAUUGAAUUUGGGCCCAACAUAUCUCUCUCUCUUUUACUUUAUUGCGUAUUUAUUUGUUGAAAUUUGUCGUUACUUUUAGCGUUUGAAAAUUUCAAAUCCACGCAAGAAGCUAUUUCGCUUUAACAAUUUAAAUAAAUUAAUCAAGUCUGAAUAGACUUAAAAUAAA